AAAAAUCCCCCGAGUUAAUAGGAGAAACCUUUUAGCGGAUUCUAUUUGUCAAUUUUCCCUCCCUGCAACUAUUUUUAGGGUUUCAGUUGCGUUAGCUGAGCUCCGUUUCGAAGAACUUUCUCGACUUCUUUCUUGGAUAUUUUCUUGUCCCACCGUUUCUUGCCGGAGAAAAGCUUUGGAGUCUUUUGUUUCUUUAAGGUUUAUAAAGACAACUAGACGGAAGAACCGGAUUCUGGCGGUUCGCUCUAAACCGAUCGGUUCAUUUCCAGAACUUUGGGGUUAGGGUUUUCGAUUUAAUCUUUUGGGUCUUGAUGGCUCUAUAAAGGUUUCUUAAUUCCUGCUAUAUUUCGAAGGGAGAGCAGGAAUUAUCUAUGUUUUUAGUAAUCUAAGGCUUAGUUGUGUUAAAAAGUUAUGAGAUUUUCUUGUGCAUGUAGUAGUGACUUUUGUGUUCUCUGUAAUAGACGGUUGGAAGCAAAAUUGCUUUGCUUAAGAAGAUAAGAUGCCAUCUACCUUUUUUGUGAGACUGAGGAGUGCAGUUCAGAAUGGAAUCCGGAGAACAGAAUGCGGGCUUCAUGAUUCAAUAGGGGUUCUGAUUGGGACAGGGAAGCUAGGGUUUGACAAUUGUAGGUUAUUUCAUUCUUUAAGAUUUUCAGGGCUUGCGGAUUUGCAAGGUCUUUUGCAAACAGGGACUUUUUUGGCUGCAAGAUCAGAUUCUCUCUUGGCUAAUCGAAGAAGGAACAUUUCUGUUGUUGGUGCAUUUUCUCGAACAAUUUCUGUUCCAUCUGUAUCAGGCCCUGCCUUCCAGGUUUGUGGGUAUCACAUUGAUUGUGCACUUGCUGAUACCAGUCAAAUACCACCAUCAGUUAGCAAAUUUCAAAGUAAACCUAUGGCUGCUUCUGGUUCUAGAGUUGUAUUUGGUGAAUAUCUUGUUGAUUCAUUAAAGUUAAAGCAUGAGCACCUUGCACCUUUGACAAGUAGUGCCGGCAUCUCCUAUGGAAAUAGAAACUUGAGUAGCUGCAUAAAAGCUACAAUGAGUUUGAAAAACCGUGAGGAACCUAACAAUUCUCCAAUUUACGGAUAUGUCAUGUAUACUGUUGGAAAAAGAUGGUGCAACUUUGAUCCUUCUUCGGGGUCAGGUUCAAGGGCUUUCCAUAGUUCAUUGCCUUCUUGUUUAUCAGCUGGGACUGCCCCUGAUGUUUCCUUUGAUAAUUCUGGACGUGAAGAACAGGUUGCAAAUUCUUCUGUGUCAUCAGAUGAGAAGAUUUCUGCUGGCAAAACUCUGAAGCUGCUUUCAGGAUCAUGCUAUCUACCCCAUCCUGACAAAGAAGAUACUGGCGGAGAGGAUGCUCAUUUCAUUUGUGUGGAUGAACAAGCAAUUGGUGUAGCAGAUGGAGUUGGUGGCUGGGCAGACCUGGGUGUUGAUGCAGGGCAAUAUUCUAGGGAACUCAUGUCUAAUUCUGUAUCUGCUAUCCAAGAGGAGCCCAAGGGUUCAGUUGACCCCGCAAGAGUCUUAGAGAAAGCUCACUCUUGCACAAAAGCUAAAGGUUCUUCAACAGCAUGCAUCAUAGCACUCACAGACCAGGGUCUUCAUGCUAUAAACUUGGGGGACAGUGGUUUUAUGGUUGUUCGAGAUGGAUGCACAAUAUUUAGAUCCCCAGUGCAGCAGCAUGAUUUUAACUUCACAUAUCAACUUGAGAGUGGGAGUAAUGGUGAUUUACCUAGCUCUGGUCAGGUUUUUGCAGUGCCUGUUGCUCCAGGAGAUGUAGUCAUUGCUGGCACAGAUGGACUGUUUGAUAACUUGUACAAUAAUGAAAUUACCGCAGUGGUGGUUCAUGCAGUGAGAGCUGGUUUGGGGCCUCAAGUGACUGCUCAGAAGAUAGCAGCUUUGGCACGGCAACGAGCUCAGGAUAGAGACCGACAGACACCUUUCUCAACUGCUGCCCAAGAUGCUGGGUUCCGUUAUUAUGGUGGAAAGCUUGAUGACAUCACUGUUGUUGUGUCAUAUAUUACUAGCUCCGAGGAAGCUUCAAGGCAUAAGAGUUGAAUUUUGGGCAGUCGCCUUCAGUUUGACCUACAUCAAAAUGAACUUUUGGGAGUGACUCCAUUUGGAGAACAAGUCUUCAUGAGCACGUGGAACUGUUGUAAGGGGAAGUUAACGAACCUGGUUUUACUUUGAUUUGUCAUUGCGGCCAUCCAAUUUUGUUAUUAGGAAAGCAAAUCCUGAAGUUGAUCUCAGUUGGCUUUGGAGGAUCGAUCCCUUGUUCUUUAGUUAGAAUUUAGCAACGAACUGCCUCUUUUUGAGAUAAAAGUUUUUGUCAUACUCCCUUUAUGCCUUCCCUCUGUCAAAAGAGUUGGGAAUGAGAGAUGCUCCCCAUGUUCAAACCACAAUUGUUAUUGUAUAUAGAAUUGCAUAUUUGAGUAUAUGAAAUGAAAUGUCCUUGUCAGCCAUGAAAGUGAAGCAAAAAAUGGGUUUUCUUGUUAUUUAA